UGUUUUAUAUCAGAGUAAUCUUCAAAAUUUAUGAGUAUGUGAUUGAAUGGAAUAAAAUCUUCCUCUAGUACAAAAAUAUUUUAACAUCAUAGAUGUAUCAUUACCUUCAUUAGCUGACUGUAAAUGGCACAUUUGCCCAAGAAUAUCAAAAUUUCAAAUCUACACAGGAAGUUCUUUGACAGAGAGCAGAAUAGAGUAAAUAUUUGGGAGAGUGUUUCCCUAAAUAUUUUACUAUGUGCAGCUUAUUUCAUCUUGGAAGUUAACAGUAAUUAACAGAAUGCACCAGGUAUAGCAUCAUAUGUGUAUAUAAAGUAUCAGCACACAUGAAUGAAUUGAGACAUGUUUAGUGAUCCAAUGUAUUGUGUUCAAAGUUUCCAUCCAACAGUUCAAAGACAUGUCAUAGCAGUGAAGCAAAUGGUGGCAAAUGAUGGCUUUGUGGUGGUUAGUGAAAAACUGAGGCAAUCUACAUUGGUGGUGGCAAACACUAACAGAAAAUUUCUAGACCAGCAGUGACAUGAAGUUGAUGAAAUAAUGACAUAUUUUACACUGUACUGAAGAUGUAAUUGCGAAAAUCAUUAGGGUUAUCAGUGGAAAACAUUGAUAUACUACAAUAAGAGUGGAACUGACAUUUUAACACUAUUGUUUGUACUAUUAUACAUCACCUAGUUCAAAAUUCAUAAGCAUUUUUGUUAUAUUAUAGACUUUUGGCAUUGAAAAACAUAGUUAUUUAAAGACGUAAAUAAUAUCGUUAUUGUUCUAAAUUAGUUUAAAUGCUGACUGAUUUAAGAACAAUCAAAAUAAAAGGUUGAUUUACAUUUAUUGUUUCAUUUUUAUUGAGUGACCUUACAUUUAGAUUUGUGAUCACUUUUCUGUCUGUCCAUAAAUCCGUAUCAGUCAAAAAUGAUAGUCAGUUCUUAGAUUUUGAAUUUUUUUUUAAAUUAAGGGUAUAUUUUUACUUGUCUGUUAUUGUGUUUUAAUUUUCUUUUAAUGCUCUUUGAUAUGCAGACCUAAUUGCAGGAAUUUUUUUAUAGGAACUUUCAAUUUCUGCAAGCUUGCGCAAGCUUACGGCAAGCUUACAGCAAGCUUGCAAAUUGAAAUCAAAUACAAGGGCCUGCAAGCUUGCGCAAGCUUGCAACAAGGUUCCAAUUCUAAGCUUGCAGCAAGGUUCAUGAGCAUAAGCUUGCGCAAGCUUGCAAAAUGAAAUGAACUGCAAGCUUGCGCAAGCUUGCUGCGAGGUUCCAAUUCUGAGCUUGCGGCAAGCUUCAUCUGCAAGCUUGCAACAAGCUUGCCGCAAGCUAAAAAAUAAGCUUGCGAUUUUGGUUUGGGAAUAUCUCGAUUCCUUUCGAAACUUGGCCAGAUCCCAUCAUGGGUUCAAGGGUUAUUGCCCCUUAAAAGGCCAAAUAUACGGUAUUUUGGCUUGUGAACACGAUAGGGACCACAUUUUGCAAUAAACUUUAACCAAACUUGCACACAGCUUGUAUGUGCAUAAUAUCUCGGUUCCUUUCUAAAACUUACCAGAUCAAAAGCUAAAGGCCUCAACCUUUCUCCAUGACACUUGGUCAGAAAGGUUAUCUUCAUUCCUGAACCAAAUUUAAACUGGGUCAUAUGGGGUCAAAAACUAGGCCAUCAAGUCAAAUCAAAGGGAAAGCUUGUCUCCUGAGGCCAUUUUUAUGACCCUAUCUUCAUGAAAUUUGGUAAGAAUGUUUAUCUUGAUGAUUCCUAGACCAAGUGUGACACUGGCCAUGUAUGGUCAAAUACUAGGUCACGUGCUCAAAUCAAAAGAAAAGCUUGUUAACACUCCAAGAGGCCAUAUUCAUGACCUUAUUUUCAUGAAAUUUGGUAAGAAUGUUUAUCUUGAUUAUUUCUAGGCCAAGUUCGAAACUGGUUUAUGUGGGGUCAAGGCCAAGUUUUACAUGUGAGCGGUAUAGGGUCAUCAUCACCCUCUUGUUGUGAUGUUUGAAUGAAAUUUAUAUAUUACAUCUGAAUAAUUAUGUAAAUGAACAAUUUUAAGCAUGGUUUUUCAUAUCUUAGUCUUCACAAUUUUAUAAACCGAAAGUAAUGAAGUAACUUCAUUGUUCUUGAUAACAUAGAAUAAAGCCUAUGUAUGCGUUACUGAUGUUCACGUGUUUACUAAAUGGCAAUGUCACAAUCUUUCUAAAAUGAAAUUCAAUUGUUACAAUGUUUACAAUGAAACAAUUUCAAUAAUGUCUUCACAAACUGUGAGAAUUUUUAAUAAAAUCUGCAAUGUAGUGCAAAAUAUGCGAUUUUCCUAUAAACUCCAAUUACAAAAUCUUGCUUAAGGUCCAGAUUCAUUCAAAUCAGUCUAGUAAAAAAUGAAAGCAUGAGAAUAUAUAUAUUUUGCAACUUUUUCUUAGUAUGUCCUGAAAUUCUAAAACGGAGUGGUUUUAUCAAAUUUUACAUUGAUGAUUAUAUUUUACCUUCAAUGUGCAGAACUAACGAAAUUGAAUCCACAAACAUGUGUAUUCGUUUUGUUAUUUUAACAAAAUAAUUGUUACAUAAUGCAAAUUCAUGUCAGUAGAGGUAAUUUAUCAAUUUACAUGAACCAGUGUACGACAUGUUUUUCGUUCCGAAAUUCCUAUUACGUGUUUCAAGAAUAGAGUAUAGAUAAUUUAAGGCGUUGACUUUAUUUCUUUUCUUUUUUCUUUUUGAACUUUCUCUAUAAUUUACAAGGAAAAUGCUUUUUAAGAUGCUUUCAACAUGAGCAUUUUAGUAUACGAUCUUUAUAAGAGAAUAAAUGCAGUGCAUAUCUACAUUAUUUGUUUUUGGGUAAGGUGAAACCACUGUUUAGCAGAGUUUUAAAAUAGAACAGAGCAGAAAAGACUUUAGAAAAC